GCUCGGGGGUUUCUAGCAGGACUCUGUCGGUUGGUUAGCGGGCCAUUGUUAACCCUCUUCCUGGGCUUUCCUGGCCCCAGAACUAGCCCGGAGCCUUGCGGAUGGCAGUGAGAGCUGCGGAAGGAAACCUCUUUACUCAGCCGCUCUGGGCAGCCUACCGGGCUCCGAAACUCCCGAGGCAAAGCCGGAAGAACCUCUCCUUCCCUCCGUCCCACGGAAGGAGCUCCGACUAGGGGAAAGUCCUGAAGGGAGAAAUCUCCAAGGCAACGAGGAAUUUCAAACGGCCGAGGCUAUCCAGAUCAGCAUCGGCAUCUUUCAGUUGUUCUUGGGGAUCCUGUGGUUCUACCUCUACCUGACCCAGUUUGCAGACUCUUUUCUCACUUACAAGACCUUAAUUUGGAAUGCGAAAUACCCAUUAUUAUCAGCGUUUAUCAACUCUGGAAAGUUACUUUCAAAUUAUUUGUUCAUCUACACUGUCUUGUUCAUCUUGGUCUCCUGGAUGGUCCUCAAGUGGAACCACAAGGCCGUCUAUUACUCCCCCCACUGAAUGUCUCCUUCCUCUCCGCACAGCCCUGCCCUCCCAGACCCAUCUUAAAGAUGUCAAGGUCUGAGCCAAACUCCUUUGCUGCUCAGCUCUGGCUGAAGAAUCUGGGAAGGAGAGGACCUAGGGAUAACAGCAAGGAUUCCACCGAAGACCGUGCUCAGAUCUAAAAUGUUCCUUUUUGCAUGGUUUGGUAGCUUCACUGGUGUCUGUGGCUGGCCCCGACGUGGGGCUGGUAUCUCAUGCUUCCCAUUGUGUGCCCAAAAAGGCUCCCACCCUCUCCUCUCAGAAGGGUUCCUAUGGUGUGGGAAGGGGCCAGGGGAGCUUCAGCUCAGUCUUACUUGGAUGACUUGUUUACCAGAGCUUAGGGCAAUCAGAUGGCAGAGCAUCCAUUGAAAAGCCUAGAAAACCAGUAGGACCCCCAGUAAAGAAAGAAUGGGCAGUUGAGUAUGGAUGGCUAUUUGAAAAUGUCAACAAUGUCUUUUCUAAAUGUUUCUUUUUUCUGUUCAAUAAAAGUGAAAUGAAGAUAGUUUGCUUUUGGUAA
rnacentral:lncRNA from 1 species